CACGCGCUCUCUCUCUUUUUCUCUUCAAUCAAAAACCCUAAUUCUCCUUUUCGUUCCAUCACCGCCCCUUUUCCCUUCACGCGUUCUCUACAGGUCAUUGUAAAUCCUAUUUCCUUAACUAUGAAACCCUAAUUCCAUUCCUGCAUCUAUGCCUCUUUUUCUCUCUGGUUCCCUCAAAGCAUCUCAGAAUUUUUCAAAUCCUAGGUUUUUCAUCUAAGGCUGAUUGACGACAGGGAUGUUCGUGUUCAACUGUAGAACUUCAAUUCAAAAACCCUAAUCAUCGGUCACUCUGGUUGAUUCCGAAGGGAGACGCGAAUGGAGCAGGAUGCCACAUUAACUACAGGUUGCAUUGGCUCAUAAAAUUGGUCAUGUAGCAGCAACUGUGAGUAUGUCAAAGCUUACUGUUUCUUUCACACACAUAAUCAAAAGUGGUGAGCCUGCUUUCAGUGUUCUGGUUUCAAGGUUCAUUUUGGGCUAUUCAAUGUACACUAGACUAUGUGUUCAUCGAGAUUAUGCUAUAGAAGUUGAUAGCUGACUUGGAGCUUUUGAUUACGUACUUGAGAAUGAUAUCAUUCGUCUAAUGCGGCGUUAUCGUUUUAUAAGAAAUCAGCUCGCAUAUAUUCUUUUUGUCAUCCAGGUAUGUAUACAAGGAAAGCUUUCAAAAGCUUCCGUCAGGAAAGUUUUAGUGUUGGUCGGUCAUCAGCCAUCUAGGUGCCAAAAUCCAUGGAACUUUGGUGAACGUUUCCAAGAUAAAGACUUCCCAAGUCUCUCUGGUGCCAGGAUUGUAAGCAUUGCUACACAUCCUAAUGCAAUGAAGCAUGGAUAUGGUUCAGCAGCGAUAGAGUUGCUUGCAAGGUUGGACUAAAUUUGUCAACACUAAUUUUUUACUACAUCGAUAUCAAUAAAGGCGGUGAGUGACAAUGAGUGUUGGCUCGACUCAACACUGGCUUCGAGCUACAGCAAGUGGCACAUCUCAAAGAAUAAAGGCAGUAAUGAGUGUUUGUUUCAUAGUGGAAAUAGGGAAGUUGGCGCCCAGAAGACAACUGCAUCAGUUGGCGACGACGAGCGAUUUAGUGUUCAGCUACGAUAAUCUGUCAAGAAGGUGGUUAAUGGCCGGAGACAUGAAGAAAUUUCAAUUUAUGGAUGGAAAACAAGAACAAGGUGUUUGGAACAUUUGAUUGAGUGGAUGCGAACCAAGUUUUAAAAUUUAACAUUUAACCAUAGUUUAAUUACACGUUGGGACAUCAAUUCACAAAUCCCUGUCAGAGCUUCCUGGGCUCGCAUGAGAGAACAAUGGAGGGUCUUUUGAAUGGUAGUGUUUAAAUGUUUUAGUGAUGAACAAAUUUCAAUUUAUGGCUGGAAAACAAGAACGAGGUGUGUGGACAUUUGAUUGAGUGGAUGGAACCGGGUUUUAAAUUCCAACAUUUAACCAUCGUUUAACUACACGUUGCCACAUCAGUCAACAAAUCCCUGUCAGAGCUUCCUGGGCUAUCUUUCAUCAUCUAAGAAGCCUGAGAGAACGAUGGGGGUUCUUUUGAAUGGAAGCACAAAGGUUUAAAUGAAGAGGGUGAAAGUUAUUGAUCGAACGUUUCGUAACGCAAAUCAGAGGUUAAAAGUUCAACUACCGGCUUUUUUCAGCGAUCUGCAAGUUUUUCGUCCGGUUUUGGCGAAAAACAACAGCAUCACCGCACAGAACAUGAAGGAUGGCAAAGAACCACUACAACUCUUGAAUUGGAAUGGUGCUUUGGUUGAAUGUUAAAAGGUUGCAUACUCGCAUAAAACUUCAUAGUCUAAAAAGAUGGUCUUCUCUUACUUCUCCACCGGUGGAGUCACACCAUUCACAUUCAACCCGAGAAACAUAGCAUAUAUAAUGCGUGUUUCGGGCUAUCAUACACUCAGAAGGUCAAAAGUUUUUUCAGGUGUAUGCAUAUGAUAACUAAGUACAUAGCAGCUGAUCCAAAUAGUAGAGGAUCUGGAUACCCGAAGCCAAGCAUAUAAGCUUCAGUACAAGUGAGACGCGAUUUCAGCAAUGCCUACAAAUUUAUACGGUCCCAACGACAAUUUCCACCCCGAGAAUGCAUGUGUUUUGCCAACAUUGAUGAGGAGGUUUCAUGAUGCCAUAGUUUUAGGAGAUAAGGAAGUGAUGGUGUAGGGUCCAGGGUCACCAAUGCGUGAGUUCCUGCACAUCAAUGAUCUGGCUCAUUUAGUGUCGUUUUUAUUGAAAAAAUAUUCAGAUCUGUCGUUGUAAUCUAAUAUAUUCUGUUGUAUUUCACCAUGUAUAAAAUCAUAAUAUUUAAUGUCAGCGAUAUUAAUGAAGAAAUUUUCUUUUAUCAAA